rnacentral:lncRNA from 1 species
GAAAAGAAUUCAACUCACUGCGUCACCAUUUUAUAUUAAAUCUGUAGAAAUUAUAUAUUUAAAAAAUCAAUUAUCAUAUGAUGUAUAUUUCAAAUGUUUAUGUCAUUUUGGUUUAUUAUUCAUAGCUAUCAAGUUUUGUUUAUAUAAUUACUUCCUCCUUCAUAAAAACAUGUAUAUGUAUAUAUUUAUAUUUUCUAUAAAUCUCAGGACUGGGUCAAGUAGAUCUUGUGACUGUUAGAAGUAGGCCACAUGUUCAUGAAUGUUAACAUUAUGGUCAACAUCUGAUCAUAUUUGGUAAACAUCAUAUUUUAAUUGUAUAAGUUGGGUUUUUAAAUGGAUUUUCAAUUCACAGUUUAUAUUUUCAUCUUGUAGAUUAAGAAAAGGGGUAAUUUAAAUGGAACCUUUGAAUUGACAAAAUGAAGCACUUUUUAAAACAUCCUUCAUUUUUAACAAACCACAUGAUACAUUAUUGAAAAGACUGACUCUAAAAUUUCUAUUAUCAACAUUUAUGUAUUGUUAACAGGUAUGAUAAACUGAAAUCAUUCUACAUUCCAUUGCACAUUAAAAAUGUAGCUCAGCGUGUCAGUUAAGUAUAAAGCAGGGUUAAUAUUCACAUUUGCUCAUCCUGAAUAUGCAUUAAUUUGCUGCUGGUUGUUAAACAACCAUCCAUCAUUAUUAUCAUCUUUCUUUGACUUGGCCCUAAGUCCCUUCAUACUAACAUUCCAUAUACAGUGAAAUCUGGCUUAACUGAACCUCUUCGGGACUUAAGAUUUUGUUUGGUUUUGGCCAAUGUCCGGUUAUAUCAGGUUCACAACACAUACAAUUUGAUAUGAUGGUGCUUAAGAACAUGUUUGGUUUAUAUAGGUUUUCGGUUUAUGCAUGAUUCAGUUUGGCCAGGUUUCACUGUAUUUAGAACCUUUAUUGCACUUAAUUUUGUCAGUAGUGUAUCUGAGUCUUUGAAUGAGAUGUUCAUGGUGUACAUAAUUAUAAGAAUUAUUACCUACUAAUAUUUAUUUUUCAUUUAGAAUAUAGGUAUUUAAAAGGCAUUAUAAAACAAGUGUUUUCAAGAGCUAAUUGCUGAGUGUAUCAUUCAAUAGGGUCUUAUAAACUCCUGGACUGGCCAAAGUGAUUGAAAUAACUGAACUAUUGAUAUCUUGUACAUAAAAUAUGCACAUUUUUUCAAGUUGUCAUUGUCACCUUUUUGAUAGAGUUCUCAAAAUCAUUUUCCUUGUUGAUCCAUGAAUUUUUUUUUUUGUCCUUGCUUUUUUUAUUGUUAAAUACAAAAAUUUUGUAAGUCCUUUGCUGGUCAAAACUUUCAUACCACAACUUUUCAAGAACUCUGCUUGUGAUUAUAAGUGUUGAAAACUAAUAUUGGUCACCCAAGAAACAUACAUGGAUGCUUAAAAAAUAACACACUGAAGAAAUUUUCUAUCAUGUUUUUUUUAUAUACAGUUAGAAAGUGUAAGACUGUAUAUUUUUUAUUAACCAUCAGUACAUUUGAAUAUCAACACAUGCAUUUAAACAAUUUUUUUUUUUACUGGAGUGCAAAAGUUAGUAAUUAUUUAUAAGCCUCUGUGAUAGUUUUCUUAAUGAAAUAUAAUAUAAAGAAUUAAAAUUUUAAAUUUCAAAUUGUAAAUAAUCAACCUAAACAAUAUCACAUAUUUUUAUUAAGGAGAACAAUCAUAACUUCAUAAUAAUUUAUAAACUUUCAAUGCAGAAUUGAGCAUGACGCAGUUUUAAUUUGAAGAUCCAGAUUACACUUCAUUCUUCAUAUAUAUUGAUAAACAAAAUAAUAUCCAGAGAAGGUAUUAAGUAUCGAAUAAAAAGUGUUCAUACAAAUUAAUAGUUUGUGGUUAUUUUUUUUAUUGUGUUUGAAGAACCCAAUAUAGAAAAAAAUGUAUGAAAAUCUAUCAUGCCUCAAGCUGAGCAGCAGCAUCAAUGGUCUGAUUAUGUAUACGAUGUUUGAAGCAUUCUGAAAUAUAUGUAUUAGUAAUAGUUUAUCAAAAUAUGUUCAUAUUGUCUAUAUGGCUGAAGUUUAUAACUACAACGAAAAACUAUCUGAAGUAGACCAUGAUGAGAUUUAGAAUAUAACAAUUGUCCACUUAACACUGCGUAGUUGAUGAUAUUCAGUGAUAAUGUUACCCUUUAUUAAAAGGAAAUAAAUGCUUCAUGCAUUUUAUAUGUCAAUGUCUUUUCUAAAUGAACCUAAUUGACUUGAUGAUAUUUUUAAUUGUUGGCACACGUUUAUACUUAAAAAAAUUGUACAUAGGAAGGAAAUAAUUGGUAACACUUUUAAUAGGUCACCAAGUAAUAAAACCAUGCUUUAAUUGUUUAGAUUUGUAAUAAGUAAUUUGUUAGUUUUGGUUGUUAAGUUAUGUCAUUUUGAAUUGCUGAUUUUUUUUAAACUAAAUGC